rnacentral:rRNA from 1 species
GCCGGUUGCCGGCUUCUUAGAGGGACUGCGGUCGCGUCUAGCCCGCGAAAGUUAGAAGCAAUAACAGGUCUGUGAUGCCCUUAGAUGUUCUGGGCCGCACGCGCGCUACACUGACAGAGCCAGCGAGUUUUUCACCUUGGCCGGAAGGUCUGGGUAAUCUUGUGAAACUCUGUCGUGCUGGGGAUAGAGCAUUGCAAUUAUUGCUCUUCAACGAGGAAUUCCUAGUAAGCGUGAGUCAUCAGCUCGCGUUGAUUACGUCCCUGCCCUUUGUACACACCGCCCGUCGCUACUACCGAUUGAAUGGCUUAGUGAGGUCUUCGGAUUGGCUUCGGAGGGCCGGAAACGGCCCACUGUUGCUGAGAAGUUGAUCAAACUUGGUCAUUUAGAGGAAGUAAAAGUCGUAACAAGGUUUCCGUAGGUGAACCUGCGGAAGGAUCAUUACCGAAUUGUCAACACGAGUUGUUGCUGGUCCCCAGACCGGGGUCACGUGCACACUCUGUUUACACAUCCACCCACACCUGUGCACCCUCUGUAGCUCUAUGGCCUGGGUGGGUUUAUCCCCCCUCGCUGUGGUUCUACGUAUUUACACACACACACCGCCAUAAAGUCUCAUGGAAUGUUUGCCGCGUUUAACGCAAUACAAUACAACUUUCAGCAACGGAUCUCUUGGCUCUCGCAUCGAUGAAGAACGCAGCGAAAUGCGAUAAGUAAUGUGAAUUGCAGAAUUCAGUGAAUCAUCGAAUCUUUGAACGCACCUUGCGCCCUUUGGCUAUUCUGAAGGGCAUGCCUGUUUGAGUAUCAUGAACACCUCAACUCCUCAUGGUUUUCCAUGAUGAGCUUGGACUUUGGGGGUCUUGCUGGCCUAUGGUUGGCUCCUCUCAAAUGGAUCAGCUUGCCAGUGUUUGGUGGCAUCACAGGUGUGAUAAAUAUCUACGCUUGUGGUUUCCACCAUAUAACCUUCAGCGAUGAAGGUUCUCUGGAGCUCACAAAUGUCCCUCCUCAGCGAGGACAGCUUUUGAACGUUUGAUCUCAAAUCAGGUAGGAUUACCCGCUGAACUUAAGCAUAUCAAUAAGCGGAGGAAAAGAAACUAACAAGGAUUCCCCUAGUAACUGCGAGUGAAGCGGGAAGAGCUCAAAUUUAAAAUCUGGCGUGCCUUUGGCCGUCCGAGUUGUAGUCUGGAGAAGCGUUUUCCGUGUUGGACCGUGUAUAAGUCUCUUGGAACAGGGCGUCAUAGAGGGUGAGAAUCCCGU